rnacentral:rRNA from 1 species
UACGAAGGGGGCUAGCGUUGCUCGGAAUCACUGGGCGUAAAGGGUGCGUAGGCGGGUCUUUAAGUCAGGGGUGAAAUCCUGGAGCUCAACUCCAGAACUGCCUUUGAUACUGAAGAUCUUGAGUUCGGGAGAGGUGAGUGGAACUGCGAGUGUAGAGGUGAAAUUCGUAGAUAUUCGCAAGAACACCAGUGGCGAAGGCGGCUCACUGGCCCGGUAUGACGCUGAGGUGACGAAAGCGGUGGGAGCAAACAGGG